rnacentral:rRNA from 1 species
UACGAAGGGGGCUAGCGUUGUUCGGAAUUACUGGGCGUAAAGCGCACGUAGGCGGACAUUUAAGUCAGGGGUGAAAGCCCGAGGCUCAACCUCGGAACUGCCUUCGAUACUGCGGGUCUCGAGUCCGGGAGAGGUGAGUGGAAUUCCUAGUGUAGAGGUGAAAUUCGUAGAUAUUAGGAAGAACACCAGUGGCGAAGGCGGCUCACUGGCCCGGUACUGACGCUGAGGCGCGAAAGCGUGGGGAGCAAACAGG